GGGAGUAUAGCCUAAUGGUUGAGGCACGCGGCUGUUAACCGCGCUACCUUGGUUCAAUUCCAAGUAUUCCCG
rnacentral:tRNA from 1 species